GAAUAAAGGAUCAUGAUUCCAGAUUCUUAAGCAAGAAGAAAGUACUCAAAAAACAUUGCUUUGAGUAGAGACCAUGAAACACAAGGAGGAAGAUAAAGCUGAAAAGGUUCAAUAUCUCCUAUAUCAAGUGGAAGGGAUUAGAGAUUGAGACGAGUGAAGGAAUUGAAUAAGAGAGCAGAAGAAGAUCGAGUGGAACGAAAAAGAAGAAUUUGAAGUUAUCAAAAAAUGGUGCUACAUUAUCGACAACAAAGCGUGAAUGAAAAAAAGGAAAGGGGUCGUUGCAUGCAGGCGCUCUUGCCUUCUAUUUCUCCAACAUUUAUCAAACAACAACAUCAAUUAUAUGCCCCAGUUUAAUUAACAUUCCACUUGCUAUGUCACAUUGACUUUUUCAA